UGCAAAAAAGCUCGAGCUCUAAGAUUCUAGACAUAUGUCAGGGUGUGAUAUUCCUGACAUAGAUGUCAUCGGAAUCUCCGGUGAUUCCCUUUAAGCUUAUUAGUGUCCUCUCGAGACUUGGAAAGACUCUAAGAUUUACUAGGUCCCUAGGUGGGUUCAACGCACACGCCAGCAACAUAGUCUCUGUUGUAUUCAUAGCCACUGGCCAAGAUCCAGCUCAAAACGUGGAGAGCUCCCAAUGAAUCACAAUGAUGGAAGCCGUUGACGACGGCAAAGAUAUCCAUGUCUCUGUCACUAUGCCAUCCAUUGAGGUAACGCAGCAGAUUGCGUCUCAAUCAGCGUGUUUAAACCUGCUGGGAGUUAAAGGAGCAAGAGCACGGAGUCGUCGGGGAUGAACUCAAGGAGGCUAGCGACGAUAGUGGCGGGAGCAGUUUUGGCAGGAGAGUUAUCACUGAUGUCAGCUAUAGCAGCAUGACAACUUGUGAAGAGUCGCAUGAAAUACAAUAGAUUUAGCAGAGACAUAUCUGGAGCAAUGACAGCGACAACAACAACGACAACAUGAUCUGACUCACCAUUGUCAUCAUCUGUGUAGCCAAAACUCGAAGGACAAAAAUCUAUAGAAGGGCAGGUUCUCUGGUGAACAUGUUUAGCCAGGUGCCGUGCCUUGCCUUGCCUUGCCUUUUGUUUAGUAAAAGCUUAUUUGUUUUUUAACUUUUUUGGGAUUAAGGGUGAGUAAGAGAGAGAGAGAGAGAGAACAUCUUUCUUCUUUUCUCUCUUACUCGUGGAUGACUCAUGUGUUCUUUUUUGAUGUAUGUCUAAUCUUGGUCUUUGUUUGUUAGGAAAUGGUGUUUAUAUGAUAAAAUACUGUAUGGAGUUACGUUU